rnacentral:lncRNA from 1 species
CGGAAUUUCUCUUUCCCUCUCUUAGCUAAUUAGUAAUAUGCUUUUGAAUUUUCCUUUAGAUUACAAUCAUUGCUUGAUUCGAAUUCUGCUCGAUAUCCCUUCUUUGUAUUGUUUUUUCUAUAUAUUUUUACAAGUCGCAACAAUUGUAUGUAUAAAAUUGGGGCUAGUAAGUUAAACCUUAUUGAAAUAUAUUUAUAUGUAUGCGUUUUGGCAAAACAUGGGGCAUCAGCUAUUGUUUGAAGUUGUAAUUACGUAUACUUCAUUGGCUUCACAAUUUUGAUUCCUCACUAGUUUUAAUUGUUAAAUGCAGAUAGUAUGGACCAGGUUCUUCUCAAAAGAAAGGCACCAUCACAUUCCCAAUUAGGUAUCAUUGACAUCCUUUUCAAGUAAUUUUGUCGCACUAUAUUAAGCAGUUUGACUAUUGCCUUUUGUUUUUGUAAAUUGACGUCUAUUAUAUCUGGUAAUUCAUGUUAAAAGUUAUGAAACACAUCUUUAUUAGUGCAUUGUUGCUUGAAAAUUUUAUGUCAUAGUUAAGUAGUGCAUCUGGGUCACAUUAGCUCCAGAUCCGCCCCUGCAUGUACGGUCGGCCGCAGCAUGCCUCAUUGGUUGCCGUACAACCAAGUAACCAUUGGUGACAGCCUCGAAUGGCUUUCUCUGCUCGAAGAUAUGAUUUCCGGCAUGGAGGUCAACAACGAUGGGGCACAAUCGCCGCUUUUCUCUGCACCGCCUUGCCAAUAAUCUAAGCAAGCACUCCUUUCACUUGUUGUAUGUAGCCUGGGAUGUACUUUCUUGUUUGGUUUUGUUAUUGGUACUGGUUUGUUUUGUGAGUAAUUAUUUGUAGUGGUUAUCAAGGGAGAGAAGAAGGGAGCGAGGGAGCGAAUGAGCGGUUCUACUAUGUUCUAACACUUUCAUUUGAUUUUAGGUGUAUGGAUGGAUGGCAGCGUUUGCUUGAUAUACAACUGAAGGAUGUGUGUAGCUUUUUACUCUGCUCGACAAUUGGAUGUUCCAGGCUGACAUAAUUAAAUGAGGCUUAGUAUUCAGGACAAAGUUAUGAACGAUGGUUGACUUAGCUAGGAUUCAAAAUUCAAUAAUAUAGUAUACUUUGGUCAUAGUAUGCGAGACAAUUGGAUUAUCAUUAAAUUAAUUUCAUUACAACAAAGUUAUUGCCAUUAAAGUUUGAGUGGAACUAUUUAUAGUUCAUGAUUUUAAGAAAAAUCAUAAAUAUGAAAUUUUCAAGGAAAAUCAUAUGACCUGGUUAGCCCAUAAAUUUGAAGUGUUAGACGAGGGGAAAAGAUGAUGGAUAGUAAGAGGAAGUGGGAC